rnacentral:rRNA from 1 species
AUACGGAGGGUGCAAGCGUUGUCCGGAUUUAUUGGGUUUAAAGGGUGCGUAGGUGGCCCCUUAAGUCCGUGGUGAAAGCCUGCCGCUUAACGGCAGAACUGCCAUGGAUACUGAGGGGCUUGAGUCCAGACGAGGUUGGCGGAAUGGAUGGUGUAGCGGUGAAAUGCAUAGAUACCAUCCAGAACCCCGAUUGCGUAGGCAGCUGACUAGGCUGGUACUGACACUGAGGCACGAAAGCGUGGGGAGCGAACAGGAUUAGAUACCCUGGUAGUCCACGCCGUAAACGAUGGAUACUCGCUGUGGGCGAUACACAGUCCGCGGCUUAGCGAAAGCGUUAAGUAUCCCACCUGGGGAGUACGCCGGCAACGGUGAA